UAGAGUUUGAUCCUGGCUCAGAACGAACGCUGGCGGCGUGCCUAACACAUGCAAGUCGAACGGAGUGAAGGAGCUUGCUCUUUCAUUUAGUGGCGCACGGGUGAGUAACGCGUAGAUAAUCUGCCUUGGACUCUGGGAUAACAUCUCGAAAGGGGUGCUAAUACCGGAUAAGCCCACGAUGGCGUAAGUCAUUGCGGGAAAAGGGGGCCUCUGAAUAUGCUCCUGAUUCAAGAUGAGUCUGCGUACCAUUAGCUAGUUGGUAGGGUAAGAGCCUACCAAGGCGACGAUGGUUAGCUGGUCUGAGAGGAUGAUCAGCCACACUGGAACUGAGACACGGUCCAGACUCCUACGGGAGGCAGCAGUGGGGAAUCUUGCGCAAUGGGGGAAACCCUGACGCAGCAACGCCGCGUGAGUGAUGAAGGCUUUCGGGUCGUAAAGCUCUGUCUAGAGGGAAGAAAUGAUAGUCGGUUAAUACCCGGUUUUCUUGACGGUACCUCUGAAGGAAGCACCGGCUAACUCCGUGCCAGCAGCCGCGGUAA
rnacentral:rRNA from 1 species